CCUACGGGUGGCAGCAGUGGGGAAUAUUGGACAAUGGGGGAAACCCUUAUCCAGCGACGCCGCGUGAGGGAAGAAGGUUUUCGGAUUGUAAACCUCUGUCAGUGGGGACGAGAAUGACGGUACCCACGGAGGAAGCCACGGCUAACUACGUGCCAGCAGCCGCGGUAAUACGUAGGUGGCAAGCGUUGUCCGGAAUUACGGGGUGUAAAGGGAGCGUAGGCGGGAUGUCAAGUCAGAAGUGAAAAUUAUGGGCUCAACGCAGAACCUGCUUUUGAAACUGAUAUUCUUGAGUGAAGUAGAGGCAAGCGGCAUUCCUUGUGUAGCGGUGAAAUGCGUCGAUUUUCGGCGGAACCCCCGUGGCGAAGGCGGCUUGCUGGGCUUUUACUGCCGCUGCGGCUCGACAGCGUGGGGAGCAAACAGGAUUCGCUACCCGGGUAGUC
rnacentral:rRNA from 1 species